rnacentral:lncRNA from 1 species
UUAAAAGUAAGUUCCCACCCAAUUUCCCUGUCUUUCUUUUAAUUUUUCACUCUUUAUAAAUUACCUCACAUAUUCACUACUCAAAAACAAGUUAGAAACUGUGUGUUUUAUAGAAGAGAAUCAGUAAUAAUAAGUAUAUGUGCCCCCGCCACCUUUCCAACGUUGAAAAUACAUAGAGCAAAUCGACAUGCUUUCUCAUUGUCACAAGUUGUAAAUCUAACUUGUAAGUAUGUAAAAGCACCUCAUAAUAUAAUUAUUUAUGAGUUAAUGUACACUAUGUUAAUGCCAUUAAAGUCUUUGAUUUUGUGUACGUUUAUUCUUACUAGGAAAAGGAAAAGCUUUUAUGAAAAAGAUUAUAAUAACAAGUAUAAAAUAUGAUAUGAAAUUGCAUUGCAUUGUAUUUUUUUUAAAAUUAUUUUAAUAGCUAGUCAAUAUAUUACAAAUUAUAUAAUGCCACUACACUAUAGACAUCGAAAGUGAAACAAUGAGAAACAUUUUCUGGACAACAUAACCUUAAUUUUUCAUUAGAAGUGUUAGAUAUUUUCAAAAUUAAAUAAAUUAUUAUGUAUAAAUACCCUUCUCUAUCUGAAAAAACCAUACAUUAUGUAUAAAUAAAUAUAUAUAUUUUUAAAAAACAUUUUCGACAUAAAAAGAAACGCUAAAAAGUAGAAUCUAUUCACGUGUUUGGUUCUACAAAGGGAAUUUAAUCCCCACUCAUCUGAGAUACACUGCACUUCAUCUUCAUCUGCUUUCCUUUCUCCCUCUUCAUCUACACUUCCUUUGCCGGCGAACAAUCUCUCUUCUGAAAGCCCACCAACUUAACUUCGCCACCGAUGCACCAAACGUCCUCAUCAGCAGCCUCUGUGGAAGCAUUUUAUAUGAAGAAUCAGUGUUGUCGAUAACUGUGUCCAGAUUGCAAUUGAUCAAACGCGUGGUGGACAAGGUUGCAGGAAGAACACAUGGGGAAAAAAAGGAGAUCCGGGUCUCCGCUCUCCGGUCACCACUCACAAGUAAGAUCGAUUAAUAUUUGGCCGGAAACCGACCGGUCUUGUUUAUAUUUCUAAUCAAUUUUCUUUCUUGCGUCAACUCAUGGUUAGGCCGUUCGAUGAUCAUGGUUGAACCUGUAUUUUUUUGUUAAUUUAUCUGUCCAUGACCUGUUGAUCAACAAUUAGGAAAAGAGUAUUAUAAUUUAGUCAUGGUUUUAUAUAUUAGUAGUAGAUCUUUAAAUUUGCAUUUCUUGUUGACUCUUUUGGAAAAAAUCAAGUAAAAACUUUUCUCUUAAUUGCUCUUAUAUCGAUUAUAUUUACUUUUUGUUGUAUGUAUGUCUACUAAUUACUAAUUGAUCACUAACUAUAUUAUAAAUUUUGAUGUACACAUUUUUUACAAUAAUCGAAGAGAGGAAUAAUUACUUAUUGAUCACUAACGAUUAGGUUUUAUUUGUAUUCUAUAGAUUAUAUAUCAAAUAUCUACUAAAUAAUACAAUAUACAAAGGUUUUCAUAAUAAUUUAACAGAGAGAUAAAAAGCUUUUCGUAUUUGGAAAUACCACUUUAAGCUUUUGUUUUCAAGAUAAAACGUCAUCAUCAUCCAUGUUUUUUUGUCAAAAGACCAUACUACCCUUCUUUUAAUAAAACCUUGUACUCCUUUUUAUCUUUUGUUGUAGAGAAACUCAUUUUAUUUUUUUACCAAAGACCACAUGAUUGACUUUGUUCCUAAAAAGAAAACAUCUUACUUUUUAAUUACUAAAUCUCGAUUGGUUUUAAUCUUCAGAGUUUUCAUCUUCUUAAGUUGCAUUAUUUCGAUUGUUGCAGCCUAAUCAUCAUCUUAAACUUAUUAUUAUUCUUUUGAUAUCCCACAAUUAGUGUUAACAUAUGGACAUAUGAUCAUGAUAUAUUGUGGUACAUGAAAUAUGUUGUCCAAAAAUUCACUAUAAUAGAAAAAUAAAAAAUUUAUUUUUGAAUAAUUUGAUAAGUAGUUUUAUAUAAUCAAUCUCCAAAUUUCAACAUAAAUAAUAAUAAUAAUAAAUAAUUAUUAUCGUUUCCAUGAUUUUGAAUGUAUGUUACAUAAAAGGAAGGAAAGGUGAACAUUUUUUUUUGUCUAUUUGUUGUUUAUAAAAAUAAAUGAUGUUAUUGCAUGAAAAGGAAAUAAUAGUUCACUUAAUUUCUUGUAAUAAAUAUAUUUUUUGUUACUUUUUCCAUUAAACACUUUCACAUUGUUGAAGUGACGAAGGAAGUUGUAAGGAAGGUUCCACAAAACUAGACUUGGCAAUCUAUGUCUGCGUGUCGUGUAUUCGUGUCACACAUGAAUUUACACGACAUGAAUUUGUUAAACACGAACACAACACGAAUUAUAAAACGUGUUUGGGGUAUCAAACACGAACACGACAUGUAAAAAAUUCGUGUGACACGUGACACCACACGAAUAGACACGUUUUUAAUGGCUUUUUUUUAAAGUUAGGGAUAUAAACUAAUUAUUGAGUUUUAUGAAAUUGUUCCCUAAUAUAUUAUAAAUAUAAAAUUUAACCCUAAUAUAUAUAUAUAUAUAUAUAUAUAUAUAUAUGUGUGUGUGUGUGUGAAUAUNAUAUAUAUGUGUGUGUGUGUGUGUGUGUAUCACAUGUCAACAUGAAUUUGUAUCGUGUCUAAACGUGUAAAUUUGUGUUUGACACGUGUAAGACACGAAACAUGAAUUUAAAAUGUGUCAGAUACGAAUAAACACGAAACAUGAAUUUCUAAAACACAUACACGAAAAACUCGUAUCGUGUUAAUCGUGUCAUGUAGCAAAUUGUCAGGUCUACACGAAACUUCAUGGUCAUCCUUUAUACUUUAUAUAAAGUCUAUUCCUCUAUAUAUUCACUAUCAUCAAGAACUAGACACCAUAUCCAAAACAAAUUAGAAGAGAAUCAAUGGCAUCUCCUAAUUUCCUAAUCUUCUAUCUCAUCUUGUAACUUUCUCUCUUUUUCUCUCUAGCUUUUACUCUUAUUGGCAUUUGAUAAAAUAUAAAUUUUGAAAAUUGAAUCACUUGUGAAGUUUCUUGGAGUUAAUCCUCAAAAUAAGAACUUACAAGUAGAGUGUGUGCAUGAAGCUUUCUUUACACAGAAGUUAACUUCGAUAACACGGCUAUGAAAUUACCAUAUAUUAAUCCAAAAUGUAGAUUACAUUUUAACAUACCCCUUAAUCUAGGCUUGAGUUACUUCUUCCUUUGUCCUCAAAUCUUGGAUGUUUAAUACUUUUAAUGAUUGUACGUUUGUUUUGUGAUUUCUUCAUGUGUACUCCUUUGCAACACAAGGUGAAAAACCUAUCAUAUACACCGUUCCAUUUGUUCUUUUGUUUAUCUUCUUUGAUUCUAUAUUUUUCUUUUUCACAAAUAUCUUCUCUUCCUUCUUUUAGUGUUUAAUUUCAACCAUCAUCCUUAUCCACCUGUUUAACAUUAACGAAAGAACGAAAGUAGCCACAUGUGACCAUUCCAUUGACACCCUAUAACCCUUCUUGAAAACUGGAUAAAGAUAAAAUAAAAUAAAAUAAAACUUUUUUCAUGCAUUGACUUUAAUCCUUCUUAGAACUCAUACAUCCCUUUCAGAAUAGAAAUCUGAUUCAUUUACUAUCGUUUGAUAUCAUGACGUUUCUUUCCUUCACUUUUGUAAGUACCCACGUGAUCAACCUUCUCUUCCCCUUUUCAAACAAUUUGUCUUCUUUUGAGUUAUUGUUGGUUCGUAUAUCACUCUUUAUUUAUUGAAAUCAAUAUCCAUUAAACCAUACCUUGAAGACCGUUCCUUUUCUUGACCAAAUAUUUUUGUAAGCUUGUAGAAUCAAUUCUCCAAAAUCCUUUCCUUAAUUCCUUAAGCUGGUCGGUGUGGUAAACGCCCACAUCGGCGUUUUUAGAUAAAAACAAAGAAACAGAGUUAAAUGAAGGUGGUGGUGGCAACGGGAAGCAACA